rnacentral:lncRNA from 1 species
UAUUUACAAGGUGGUAAAAAUUAAAAAAAAAAUCACAGAAAAUUAAAACCAAUAACAGGUUUUUGUACAUAUAAGCUCGUCAAAAAAAAAAACUAAUAAAACAUAAGCCUACAAGUCAAUUACUUUAUGUGUGAAAAAAAAAAAAAAAAAAAAAAAAAAAAACACGAGCUAAUAAAAGCAGUGAAGGAAGAAAAAACUAAAACAAAUUUAAAAAAAUAAAAUACAAAAAACGAAUGUUGCUAUAAUUCAAUUGAAAAAAAAUCAAACACAACUACAACAGAUAAUAUCAUCAUAGACAAAGUGGUAAUAUUGCAUGGUGAUAAAAAGGGACACGAAACAAUGAACAAAGAAAAGGUAAGAGAAAUAGGAGAGCAGAAAGUCGAGCAAAAAGCAGAGCAAAAGGCAGAGCAAAAAGCAGAGCAAAAAGCAGAGCAAAAAGCAGAGCAAAANNNNNNNNNNGAGCAAAAAGCAGAGCAAAAAGCAGAGCAAAAAGCAGAGCAAAAAGCCGAGCAAAAAGCCGAACGUGAGCAACCAGGUAGACAGGCAAAAACACUCACGGGGAAACAAACAGAGGGACAAACAGAGGGACAAACAGGGGGGCUAACAGAAAUCGAAGACGUUCCACAAAAUAGUAAAAAAGAUUUAACAAUAUUGACCAGUACAAGGUAUGCAAAAAAUGACAUAUAUAAUGAAGUCGAUUUGGAUGAUAAUAAUGUGUUAAUUGAAAAAACAAAGAACAGUUCAUUUCGUUCAUCUAGCUUGGUAAAAUUGAAUAAAAUAAGUAACCACAAAAAGGUAGCAAUAAAGAAAAAAGAAGAGAAAAAAAAUGAAAAAAAUACAAAUGAAAAGGUAAAAAAUACAGACGAAAUAAACUUAGAAAAUACAUUACAACAAGAUAAAAAAAAAAAAAAAAAAAUCCAAGAAGAAAGAAAAAUUAUAACUGUGUUUACAAGUAUAAUAAGUCCAGGACAAGAUAUGAAUUGUACUAACGAUAUAAAAGAUAUCAGAAAUAAAGAU